rnacentral:rRNA from 1 species
UACGAAGGACCCGAGCGUUAUCUGGAUUCAUUGGGUUUAAAGGGUGCGUAGGCGGAAUGAUAAGUCAGUGGUGAAAUCCUGCAGCUUAACUGCAGAACUGCCAUUGAUACUGUUGUUCUUGAAUACAACUGAUGUGGGCGGAAUGUGCCAUGUAGUGGUGAAAUACUUAGAUAUGGCACAGAACACCGAUUGCGAAGGCAGCUCACAAAAUUGUUAUUGACGCUGAUGCACGAAAGCGUGGGGAUCAAACAGG